rnacentral:sRNA from 22 species
AUUAAACUUCGGUAGGUGAGGCUACCGCAGGGAUAUGGAUUGCUACCGCGAAAUAAUGGAGACACUAUUAGUUGGUUAGCAGGUUGUGUCGAAUCAAGGCAUAACCUAAUGCAAUUUCAAGGCGUCAAAUGUACGCCAUGCCCUGCGAUGCUAAAGCUUGAACGGUUAAUUGCU